rnacentral:rRNA from 1 species
UACAGAGGGGGCAAGCGUUAUUCGGAAUUAUUGGGCGUAAAGGGUGCGUAGGCGGGUCUUUAAGUCAGGGGUGAAAUCCUGGAGCUCAACUCCAGAACUGCCUUUGAUACUGAAGAUCUUGAGUUCGGGAGAGGUGAGUGGAACUGCGAGUGUAGAGGUGAAAUUCGUAGAUAUUCGGAAGAACACCAGUGGCGAAGGCGGCUCACUGGACCGGUAUUGACGCUGAGGUGCGAAAGCGUGGGGAGCAAACAGG